rnacentral:rRNA from 1 species
AGGACGAACGCUGGCGGCGUGCUUAACACAUGCAAGUCGAGCGGAAAGGCCCUUCGGGGUACUCGAGCGGCGAACGGGUGAGUAACACGUGAGCAACCUGCCCUUAGCUCCGGGAUAGCUCCGGGAAACCGGAAUUAAUACCGGAUACGACCACGGCCGACAUCUGCUGUGGUGGAAAGGAUUCCGGCUAAGGAUGGGCUCGCGGCCUAUCAGCUAGUUGGUGGAGUAACGGCCCACCAAGGCGACGACGGGUAGCCGGCCUGAGAGGGCGACCGGCCGACACUGGGACUGAGACACGGCCCAGACUCCUACGGGAGGCAGCAGUGGGGAAUAUUGCGCAAUGGGCGAAAGCCUGACGCAGCGACGCCGCGUGGGGGAUGAAGGCCUUCGGGUUGUAAACCCCUUUCAGCAGGGACGAAGCGAAAGUGACGGUACCUGCAGAAGAAGCGCCGGCUAACUACGCGCCAGCAGCCGC